CCCUUAUUUAGAGUGGCAGAGGGACAGGCCCUGUGACGCCCAGCAACCCCCAUAGUAGAUGUGGAAGGUGCUAAUUCCUGCAGAACAUGUUUUUGUUCUGAAAGAUAAGGA
rnacentral:ncRNA from 1 species